AUGGACUCUUCUCCAGACUUCGUGUUUGCAGUUCUCCUCAUACUCGCAAGGACCCAGGGAGAGUCAGUGUCACAGACGGAAGGUCAAGUGGUCCUCUCAGAAGAGGGCUUUCUUACUAUACACUGCAACUAUUCAGCCUCAGGGUACCCAGCUCUGUUCUGGUACGUGCAGUAUCCCGGAGAAGGUCCACAGCUUCUCUUCAGAGCCUCGAAGGCCAACGAGAAGGGAAGCAGCAGAGGUUUUGAAGCUACAUACGAUAAAGAAUCCACUUCCUUCCACUUGCAGAAAGCCUCGGUCCAAGAGUCAGACUCAGCUGUGUACUACUGUGCUCUGAGUGACACGGUGGCAGAAACCACAGUGGGGGCUGAGCAUAAACUCAGCACGGGAGCCUGA